CUGUGAAAGUUGAAUCAUGUAAAUUCCCUAUUAGGGAUUUUCUCUUAAUCCUAAAAAUGCAACACUGCUCGCUAAUCGAUUGUCAAAGUGGCUAUCGGUUAUCGAUGCAAGUUCUUUUCCAAAAGUUUUUCAGUCUUUUAUUUUCCCUGUUUGAGUGUGCAGCAGAAUUGCGGAUCGAGGUUUUUACAGUCGUAAAAUUUGUUUGAUGUAGGCAUUUAAACCACAUUUUUAGUGAAGAAAAAUUCUAACAUAAAAAUUCAGCCAAGAAACGUAAUAAUGCAAAAAUUUUAGAGGAAAAACGAUUGCAAACAGUGAACGAAAUUCCAGACUGCACAAACGUCUGCAUCGCAUAUCGCACGGUGAGCAUUCACGGGGCACAUUUAAAUUGUAUUAAAUCACAAAAAGUUCAGAAAAUCGAUUUUUCGUUGAAGAUUAAAAUAUAUUUCGGGGCACCUAAAUUUAGUGGGAGUGGAUGAAAAGCAGAGAACAUGUACAGCAUUUGUUCAUGGGGAAAAAGCAAGAGCAAAAAAAUACUGUGGUAAUAACCGCAAAAUAAAUCGAAGAACAAAUACGACA